rnacentral:rRNA from 1 species
AUUGAACGCUGGCGGCAGGCCUAACACAUGCAAGUCGAACGAGUGGCGGACGGGUGAGUAAUGUCUGGGAAACUGCCCGAUGGAGGGGGAUAACUACUGGAAACGGUAGCUAAUACCGCAUACCAUCGGAUGUGCCCAGAUGGGAUUAGCUAGUAGGUGGGGUAACGGCUCACCUAGGCGACGAUGCAUAGCCGACCUGAGAGGGUGAUCGGCCACACUGGAACUGAGACACGGUCCAGACUCCUACGGGAGGCAGCAGUAGGGAAUCUUCCGCAAUGGGCGAAAGCCUGACGGAGCAACGCCGCGUGAGUGAUGAAGGUCUUCGGGUUGUAAAGUACUUUCAGCGAGGAGGCGUUACUCGCAGAAGAAGCACCGGCUAACUCCGUGCCAGCCGCCGCGGUAAUAC